rnacentral:lncRNA from 1 species
GAUGACAACCAAAGGGCAGCAACUCUGUACAGUGGAUUUUAUAACCAGAAAGGAACGAGAGGCUACUUCUCAGAAUCUCUCUUCAAUUGAUGUCCCACAAGCGAUUAGAAGACCCAGACAUAUGACGAUAGAGGCUACUUCUCGAAAUCUCUCUACAAGGUGAUCCAACGAGGGUACAAAGACUCAGAUGUGUGACAGUGGACGUCAUUGGGAGUUUACCAAUAAAGGAAUGAAAAACCGAAA